GACGAACGCUGGCGGCGUGCUUAACACAUGCAAGUCGAACGCUGAAGCUCAGCUUUUGCUGGGUGGAUGAGUGGCGAACGGGUGAGUAACACGUGAGUAACCUGCCUCCUUCUUUGGGAUAUCGCCCGGAAACGGGUGCUAAUACUGGAUAUUCACUGGUCUUCGCAUGGGGGUUGGUGGAAAGGGUUUUUCUGGUGGGGGGUGGGCUCGCGGCCUAUCAGCUUGUUGGAGGGGUGAUGGCCUACCAAGGCUUUGACGGGUAGCCGGGGUGAGAGGGUGAACGGUCACAUUGAGACUGGGAUACGGCCCAGACGGGUACGGGAGGCAGCAGUGGGGAGUAUUGCAGAAAGGGCGUAAGCCUGAUGCAGCGAGGGCGCGUGAGGGAUGGAGGCCUUGGAAUUGUGAACCUCUUGCGCUAAAGGUCAGGAAGCAACAAUGGUUGUGUUGAGGGUAGUGGAUAAGAAAGCGCCGGCUAACUACGUG
rnacentral:rRNA from 1 species